UACGGGGGGGGCAAGCGUUGUUCGGAAUUACUGGGCGUAAAGGGCUCGUAGGUGGCCAACUAAGUCAGACGUGAAAUCCCUCGGCUCAACCGGGGAACUGCAUCUGAUACUGGAUGGCUUGAGAUUGGGAGAGGGAUGCGGAAUUCCAGGUGUAGCGGUGAAAUGCGUAGAUAUCUGGAGGAACACCGGUGGCGAAGGCGGCAUCCUGGACCAACACUGACGCUGAGUGCGCGAAAGCCAGGGGAGCAAGAGGG
rnacentral:rRNA from 1 species